rnacentral:misc_RNA from 1 species
UCGAGUUUACCGCCCUACAACCCUUUGUGAACAUACCUAACUGUUGCUUCGGCGGGCAGGGGGUCCCCCCGGGGACGCCCUCCCGGCCCCGCCCCCCCUACCAGGGGACGUGGCGCCCGCCGGAGGAUACCCAACUCUAUUUUAAAACGACGUUUUCUUCUGAGUGGCACAAGCAAAUAAUUAA